ensembl:snRNA U6 U6 spliceosomal RNA
GUGCUUGCUUCAGCACCACAUAUACUAAAAUCGGAGUGAUACAGAGAAGAUUAGCGUGGCCCCUGUGCAGAGAUGACUUGCAAAUUCAUGAAGAGUUCUGUACUUUU